AGAAAGCANACGCAAGAACUGCUAACUCAU
rnacentral:tRNA from 1 species